GUUUUAGAGCUAGAAAUAGCAAGUUAAAAUAAGGCUAGUCCGUUAUCAACUUGAAAAAGUGGCACCGAGUCGGUGCU
rnacentral:ncRNA from 3 species